AGAACGUACCUAGUGUGGAGUUUUACGGAAGAAAAGUUGAGGGUGUAGGAAACAGUGUAACAAUAGUUAUAGGCCUAUAUAGUCCUACACUGAAUGUUAUUUUGGGGUUACGGUAUGUAUGCUGGGGUUUUAUGUUGCCUACUAACGUUAACUGUAACCUAGGCUGCUGAUAUAGUUGCAAAUUGGUAGCCUAGGUCGAUUUCUGACACCUGUAUUUUUUAUUCUUAAACAAAAUCCGGCAACAAAUUGUUUUGAAAGAAACGAGACAAUACUAUAAAACACAAUGUCACACUGUGACCAAAUUUUGGAAAAAGAUGUGGAUUCCUCGCCAACCGCGACCACAAACUCGAGCUCUAAAAACGGAGAUAAUGGGGACGUCGUGGUCAAUGCGAGGGCAGUGUGCCGCGUUUGUAAAUGUUUAUAUCGCGAGCCUAAAAUUAUGCAGUGUUUACACACCUUCUGCGCAGACUGCGUUCGUCAACUGGAACCAUUUUCGGUGUCUUCGGGAGUACACAAUGGUAAAGCGGUCCCUCUGGAAGGCGAGCCGCUCUCCUCUGCUGUCACUGUUCUCUGUCCGGAGUGUGACUCCGAGGUGGACAUCCCGCUGUCCGGAGUGGACGGGCUGACCACUGACCACUUGGCCCUGGACGAAGUGUUUCUGGAGACGCUGAUGAGCAAGAACUCUGUGGUAUGCGACCUGUGCAGCGACGGGGACGCAGAGAAGCGUUGUGAGGUGUGCAGUGUCAACCUCUGUGAGUUUUGUAUUCAAGCACACAGGAGACAGAAGAGGACGUCGUCUCACACCGUCCAGUGUCUGGAGGACCUGAAGACCAAGGGUUGUCUCUCUCGGCCCGUCCUGUGCUCCCUCCACCCUGGCCAGGAGCUGCGUCUCUUCUGUGAGCCCUGUGACCUACCUGUCUGCCUGGAGUGUGCUGCCACCUUCCACCGCGACCACCGCUGCCUCCCCACACGUGAUGUCAUCGAUCGCCAUGGGGGCCGUAUCCGGGAUUUGGUUACCGGGCGCCUGCGGCCACGGCUGGACCAGCUGGAGGAGUCACUUCGGAAGGUGGACCUAUCCCAGGAGGCCUUGCAGACCAGGGUGGAUGCGGCGGUGGACGAGGUGCGUUCAUUUGCACGAGGCUACGCUAGCGCUGUGGAGUCGCACUGCCUGUUGCUGCUACGGCGCUUAGAGGAGCUGGGUCUGCAGCGCAGGAGUCAUCUCCAUCUGCAGAGGGCGCAGCUGCAGCAGGCCCUGUCGGACACCCGCGGGGGGGUGGAGUUCGCCGAGCGGCUGCUGACGUGCGGGUCGGACGCAGAAAUCCUCAGUGCUAAGGACGUGACCCUCCGCAGGCUGGCUGUCCUGAUGGAGACGGGCUACAACCCCCCCCCAGCAACCGUCUGCCCCGAUGACGGGAGCAGUAUCUGCUUCCUGCCACGGGAGAGUGCAGGCGACGUGGCGGGAUACCCGAUGGUGGGGGUGAUCCACACCAAGACCCUGGAGCUCAGCAGGUGCACCAUUGAAGGGGAAGGUCUGCAGCGUGGCAGGGAAGGCCAGAGAGGGGAGUUCACCCUGGUGUGUAGAGACUCUGCUGGGGAGCAGAUGGGUCAUGGAGGGGAAGCUGUCCUGGUCAGUAUGGUCCACAAGGAGAAGAAAGACUGCAGAGUGGAGGCGGCGGUGGUGGAUAACAGUGAUGGCUCCUAUUCUGUCUCCUACACCCCCAUGGAGCCAGGGCCCUACUCUGUGUGGGUGUGUGUCAAGGCCCUACACGUUAAGGGUUCCCCCUUUGUCCUGAAUGUGAGGAGACAGGUCCGGUGGCACCGUGGAACAUUCCACUGCUGUUCCUUCUGCUCCAGUGGGGGUUCUAAAGAGGCCCGUUGUGGCUGCACGGGAACCAUGCCAGGGGCAGUAUGCCAAGUAUGUGCAGCAGAGUAAAGGCUACUGAAGGACCGGUACGCUAAGUAUGUGCAGAAUGGGAAAUGUCACAUCAGGAGGGUUCCAGGGCUGUGGUCACGGCCAUAAGGGUCACCCCGGUAAGCCCCACUGGUCGUGCUGUGGCAGUACGGUGGAGGCCUCAGAGUGCCUGCCACAGAGUGUCAUAACGGCAGUGGGGGGAACAAUAACAGCAGUGGGGGGGACAGGCUCGCCCCGGGGCCAACUCAGGACAGUGGAGCUCUGAGGGACAGGGCCAGGACACCUCUACCCCCACCAGACAUCAUGGGUCUACGAAUCAACCCUUUCAGAUGAUGAACGAAAUACUGGGAAAGAAGUGGGACAGUGUGGAUAAAUGUGAGAAGAAAUGAAUUAAGGAAAAGUCAACUAGAUAGGCCGCAGCAUUACUUAUGAAUAUCUAUUCAUUUCUAUUUUCAAGCUGUAGAUUUUAUACACACUACACAAAACAAUAUUUGUUGUGAUCCGCUACUGUAGCUAACUAUUUUGUCGUUUCUAUUGUUUUGCAUGUGCAUGUUACAUCACAAAACUGACUUUGUGCCUUUCAUGUAUUUGAAAGACCAUUAUUUUUAUUCUGAAAUAAAUAACACUGGAAUAA